rnacentral:miRNA from 1 species
UCAGUCUUGGUUAUAAGGU